rnacentral:rRNA from 5 species
CCUGGCGGCACUAGCGCGGUGGUCCCACCUGACCCCAUGCCGAACUCAGAAGUGAAACGCCGUAGCGCCGAUGGUAGUAUGGGGUCUCCCCAUGCGAGAGUAGGGAACUGCCAGGC